GGGACACGUGGUAUCCUGUCUGAAUAUGGGGGGACCAUCCUCCAAGGCUAAAUACUCCUGACUGACCGAUAGUGAACCAGUACCGUGAGGGAAAGGCGAAAAGAACCCCGGCGAGGGGAGUGAAAAAGAACCUGAAACCGUGUACGUACAAGCAGUGGGAGCCUCUUAAUGGGGUGACUGCGUACCUUUUGUAUAAUGGGUCAGCGACUUAUAUUCUGUAGCAAGGUUAACCGAAUAGGGGAGCCGAAGGGAAACCGAGUCUUAACUGGGCGUUAAGUUGCAGGGUAUAGACCCGAAACCCGGUGAUCUAGCCAUGGGCAGGUUGAAGGUUGGGUAACACUAACUGGAGGACCGAACCGACUAAUGUUGAAAAAUUAGCGGAUGACUUGUGGCUGGGGGUGAAAGGCCAAUCAAACCGGGAGAUAGCUGGUUCUCCCCGAAAGCUAUUUAGGUAGCGCCUCGUGAAUUCAUCUCCGGGGGUAGAGCACUGUUUCGGCAAGGGGGUCAUCCCGACUUACCAACCCGAUGCAAACUGCGAAUACCGGAGAAUGUUAUCACGGGAGACACACGGCGGGUGCUAACGUCCGUCGUGAAGAGGGAAACAACCCAGACCGCCAGCUAAGGUCCCAAAGUCAUGGUUAAGUGGGAAACGAUGUGGGAAGGCCCAGACAGCCAGGAUGUUGGCUUAGAAGCAGCCAUCAUUUAAAGAAAGCGUAAUAGCUCACUGGUCGAGUCGGCCUGCGCGGAAGAUGUAACGGGGCUAAACCAUGCACCGAAGCUGCGGCAGCGACACUAUGUGUUGUUGGGUAGGGGAGCGUUCUGUAAGCCUGCGAAGGUGUGCUGUGAGGCAUGCUGGAGGUAUCAGAAGUGCGAAUGCUGACAUAAGUAACGAUAAAGCGGGUGAAAAGCCCGCUCGCCGGAAGACCAAGGGUUCCUGUCCAACGUUAAUCGGGGCAGGGUGAGUCGACCCCUAAGGCGAGGCCGAAAGGCGUAGUCGAUGGGAAACAGGUUAAUAUUCCUGUACUUGGUGUUACUGCGAAGGGGGGACGGAGAAGGCUAUGUUGGCCGGGCGACGGUUGUCCCGGUUUAAGCGUGUAGGCUGGUUUUCCAGGCAAAUCCGGAAAACCAAGGCUGAGGCGUGAUGACGAGGCACUACGGUGCUGAAGCGACAAAUGCCCUGCUUCCAGGAAAAGCCUCUAAGCAUCAGGUAACAUCAAAUCGUACCCCAAACCGACACAGGUGGUCAGGUAGAGAAUACCAAGGCGCUUGAGAGAACUCGGGUGAAGGAACUAGGCAAAAUGGUGCCGUAACUUCGGGAGAAGGCACGCUGAUAUGUAGGUGAAGCGACUUGCUCGUGGAGCUGAAAUCAGUCGAAGAUACCAGCUGGCUGCAACUGUUUAUUAAAAACACAGCACUGUGCAAACACGAAAGUGGACGUAUACGGUGUGACGCCUGCCCGGUGCCGGA
rnacentral:rRNA from 1 species